AAGGCCUUCGGGUUGUAAACCGCUUUUGUCAGGGAAGAAACGGUUCUUACUAAUAUUAGGAACUAAUGACGGUACCUGAAGAAUAAGCACCGGCUAACUACGUGCCAGCAGCCGCGGUAAUACGUAGGGUGCAAGCGUUAAUCGGAAUUACUGGGCGUAAAGCGUGCGCAGGCGGCUUUGCAAGACAGAUGUGAAAUCCCCGGGCUCAACCUGGGAACUGCAUUUGUGACUGCAUGGCUAGAGUAUGGUAGAGGGGGAUGGAAUUCCGCGUGUAGCAGUGAAAUGCGUAGAUAUGCGGAGGAACACCGAUGGCGAAGGCAAUCCCCUGGACCUGUACUGACGCUCAUGCACGAAAGCGUGGGGAGCAAACAGGAUUAGAUACCCUGGUAGUCCACGCCCUAAACGAUGUCAACUGGUUGUUGGACGGCUUGCUGUUCAGUAACGAAG
rnacentral:rRNA from 1 species